CCUCUGCACACCUCCCAGCAUGAUGCCUUUUGCAGAGGAACAGUCUGAAGAUGUAGCUGUGACCCAGGAUUGUGCUCCAGUGUCUCUCACAGGGCUCUGAAAUCUGAUGAGAAACAAGAAGUGCAUUCAGUGAAGCCCUAUGAAAUUGCAAAUGAAGAAGACUGGUGUGUACUGGUGAGGAGGACUGGGAGAAUCAUAUGAACAAUGUGAGUCACAGAUGAGGUUGACUGAAAUAUGAUAAAAAACAUACAAAACCA